UCGGGGUGGCGGUGUAGUAGCUCGGGGCAGCGUAGGUUGUAGUGUAGUACUUGGGCUCUUCAGUGUUGUAGUAGUCCAAUUAGGGGCCUCGGUGUAGUAGGCAGGGGCAGCAUACGUAGUCUUGUAGUAUUCCAGUGCCUUAGUGGUGUAGUACUUGAGCGCCUCGGUGUAGUACUCAGGCUCUUUGGUAAUGUAGCUCGGGGCGUCGGUGUAGUAGCUUGGGGCAUGACUAGUUCUGGUGUAAACUCUGGAGCCUUGGUGGUGCAACAACCGGUUGUUGCGUAUGUUGUUUUUGUGUAGUAAGACGGCAGCGUUGUGGGGUGAUAUCUGCCAUACCCAGGAGACAUCGGUAAACAAUUGGUCGACCCAGCCAUCAACGAAACAACACGUAACAGCAGCACAACGCCAUAGAUAACUAGACAAAUAAUAAAUUUGAACAUUAAUAUUCAAUAAUAACUGGCAUAUUAACAAAUA